rnacentral:misc_RNA from 1 species
UUAAGUUCAGCGGGUAUCCCUACCUGAUCCGAGGUCAACCUAAGAAAGUUGGGUUAUGGCAAGCACCCGCGGAGCCCAAAAGCGAGAGAAAUUACUACGCUUAGAGCCCAACGGACACUGCCACUGAUUUUAAGGGCCGCUGGACGCGAACCCCAAGACCACGCCAGGCGUGAUUGGUUAUAAUGACGCUCGAACAGGCA